rnacentral:rRNA from 1 species
GAAACGACUGCUAAGACUGGAUAGGAAGAUAAAAGGCAUCUUUUAUCUUUUAAAAGACCUAGUAAUAGGUAUGCUUUAGGAGGGGCUUGCGCCAUAUUAGUUAGUUGGUAGGGUAAUGGCCUACCAAGACGAUGAUGUGUAGCUGGACUGAGAGGUUGAACAGCCACAUUGGGACUGAGACACGGCCCAAACUCCUACGGGAGGCAGCAGUAGGGAAUUUUCGGCAAUGGAGGAAACUCUGACCGAGCAACGCCGCGUGAAUGACGAAGUACUUCGGUAUGUAAAGUUCUUUUAUCAAGGAAGAAAAGCAAAUGGCGAACCAUUUGUUUGCCGGUACUUGAUGAAUAAGCCCCGGCUAAUUAUGUGCCAGCAGCCGCGGUAAGACAUAAGGGGCAAGUGUUAUCCGGAAUUAUUGGGCGUAAAGGGUGCGUAGGCGGUCUAGUAAGUCAGUGGUGUAAUGGCAACGCUUAACGUUGUCCGGCUAUUGAAACUGCUAAACUUGAGUUAGAUAGAGGCGAGUGGAAUUCCAUGUGUAGCGGUAAAAUGCGUAAAUAUAUGGAGGAACACCAGAGACGUAGGCGGCUCGCUGGGUCUUAACUGACGCUGAGGCACGAAAGCGUGGGGAGCAAACAGGAUUAGAUACCCUGGUAGUCCACGCCGUAAACGAUGAGUACUAAGUGUCGGGUUAAACCGGUACUGAAGUUAACACAUUAAGUACUCCGCCUGAGUAGUACGUACGCAAGUAUGAAACUUAAAGGAAUUGACGGGACUCCGCACAAGCGGUGGAUCAUGUUGUUUAAUUCGAAGAUACCCGAAAAACCUUACCAGGUCUUGACAUGUUUUUGCAAAAUGAUAGUAAUAUCGUGGAGGUUACCAGAAACACAGGUGGUGCAUGGUUGUCGUCAGCUCGUGUCGUGAGAUGUUAGGUUAAGUCCUAAAACGAGCGAAACCCUUAUCGUUAGUUGCCAGCACGUUAUGGUGGGGACUUUAACGAGACUGCCAAUGAUAAAUUGGAGGAAGGUGAGGAUCACGUCAAAUCAGCAUGCCCCUUAUGACCUGGGCUACAAACGUGAUACAAUGGCUGUUACAAAGGGUAGCUGAAACGCAAGUUCUUGGCCAAUCCCCAAAAACAGUCCCAGUCCGGAUUGAAGUCUGCAACUCGACUUCAUGAAGUUGGAAUCGCUAGUAAUCGCGAAUCAGCAUGUCGCGGUGAAUACGUUCUCGGGUUUGUACACACCGCCCGUCU